rnacentral:ncRNA from 1 species
UCUUGGUGUGCAAGUCAAGUCAUGCCAACAGUUCAGAAUGUGAAAUGCGAAAACUUAUUAAAUUAGAUAUAGUUUGCUUGAUAGUAUCUACUAUUUACAUAACAACAAUGAUUCUAGCGUUAACGCAACACAACCUAACUUUUGGAAGGGUUUAUUGGAUAAAAAGUCAACGCAGAAUCUGCUCGUUGCCAUGUUAAUUCAUGAUAACUCAACAAAUUGCACAUUCAUUAUGUUGGUGAUGCAUCAUUCAAAUAUAUGUCCCAUUAGCUUCCAAUGGUAGGUAGGAUAGUGGUCUAUUGCUGUGGUCACCAGUGACAGGAAAUUAUAGAUUGAUUUCGAAGUAGGAGCUUAAGAAUCAGCUAUAAUGUGAUUUCGAAGUAGGAGCUUAAGAAUCAGGUAUCAUGUCCAUGGAAGACCAUGCAUGCAAAUUACCCAUGGGAGGUAAAACAAUAACAAUAAUACUGAGCUCUAUGAUUCUGGUAAUUGGAAUAAGUACAAUAUAAAUCUCUUAACGAGGAAAAGUAUGGAGCUAGUAGGCGCAGUAAUUUCAGCUCCAA